rnacentral:tRNA from 1 species
AAGGGAGACCUAAUUCGGGUAUGGGAUGAAAAAAAAGUAGUCCCAACCAAGAAUCAAUCCCAAAAGGUCGGAGCGAGGCGAAAUUGGCUUUCAAACUAGGUUCUGGGUUCACAGAAGACCUGAAUCAGGAACAAGGGCUAUUAGCUCAGGUGGUUAGAGCGCACCCCUGAUAAGGGUGAGGUCCCUGGUUCGAGUCCAGGAUGGCCCACCUGUACAGGUGGCAAAAACAAAGAAAAGAAGCGAGGAAUCAGCACCUUAUCUUACUUAUAUAGUAAGAGAGAAUGCUGGCUCUGAGUAAAGAGUCCAGAGGAACCUUGAAAACUGCAUAGAGCUAGGUGAAAAAGCCAAAAAAGAAGACCGCAA